GACAUGGUGGGGCCGCGGGCUGCUGCUGGGGCUCCUGGCGGCUCAGCACGCCCUCGGCCAGGCUCCGGACGGGGUCGCCGACGAGGAGGCGGUGACCAAGGGCAGGCCGAGCCUCAAGGCAGCCGCCAACGCUUCUGCGCCAGAGGGUCGCUGCUCCUCCGGUGACGACGGCAGGGACUGCCCCCUGGAAGGCCCCAGCACUCCGUUCUCCGACCUGGGGGAGCACGUCGGCCGCGGGCACGUCCACGACGACGGCAGCAGCGAGUCCGGCUUCCUGUACGCGCGGUCCCUGUCGCUGUCCGUGGACGCGGAGGACGCGG